rnacentral:rRNA from 1 species
GGCCUCUCGCGUCAGGAUAUGCCCAGGUGGGAUUAGCUAGUUGGUGAGGUAAGGGCUCACCAAGGCGACGAUCCCUAGCUGGUCUGAGAGGAUGAUCAGCCACACUGGAACUGAGACACGGUCCAGACUCCUACGGGAGGCAGCAGUGGGGAAUAUUGCACAAUGGGCGCAAGCCUGAUGCAGCCAUGCCGCGUGUGUGAAGAAGGCCUUCGGGUUGUAAAGCACUUUCAGUAGGGAGGAAGGUGGUAGUGUUAAUAGCGCUAUCAUUUGACGUUACCUACAGAAGAAGCACCGGCUAACUCCGUGCCAGCAGCCGCGGUAAUACGGAGGGUGCGAGCGUUAAUCGGAAUUACUGGGCGUAAAGCGCAUGCAGGUGGUUUGUUAAGUCAGAUGUGAAAGCCCCGGGCUCAACCUGGGAAUUGCAUUUGAAACUGGCAAACUAGAGUACUGUAGAGGGGGGUAGAAUUUCAGGUGUAGCGGUGAAAUGCGUAGAGAUCUGAAGGAAUACCGGUGGCGAAGGCGGCCCCCUGGACAGAUACUGACACUCAGAUGCGAAAGCG